GGAAAGCUGGAGAAAAAAGAGCUACAGAUCUGAACAUCCAGUGAGCUUGGAGCCGUGAAGUUGUCAUGCACUGAACUAUAUAUGGAACUGGCCAGGUGAUCCCUUUGUAGGGUCAAAGGAUGGCGAGCUUCUGACAACUGGCUGGAGCCAGGAGAACCUUAAACUCACGCUAUACUGGUCUGGUAGGAGCCUGAUGGUCCACAACAUUUCCCCCUCCAUCUCAUUGCAAAGACACACAAUCCAUUAUUCAUCCCUUCUCUGGUGGAAACAAAUUGCGCUUGGAGAUUUUCAUCUCAAACAAUUGGACAAUUAAAACAUGGACUUUUAAAUGUGUCAGUCAGACAAUGUGCUGACUACUGGGGAAAGAUAGGAC